rnacentral:misc_RNA from 1 species
GAAAUGCGAUAAGUAGUGUGAAUUGCAGAAUUCAGUGAAUCAUCGAAUCUUUGAACGCACAUUGCGCCCCUUGGUAUUCCAUGGGGCAUGCCUGUUCGAGCGUCAUUUGUACCCUCAAGCGUUGCUUGGUGUUGGGUGUUUGUCCUCUCCCUUGCGUUUGGACUCGCCUUAAAACAAUUGGCAGCCAGUGUUUUGGUGUAGGAGCGCAGCACAAGUCGCGAUUCUUACCUUGCAGCACUUGCGCCCAUGAGUUAUUUUAUCACGUUUGACCUCGGAUCAGGUAGGGAUACCCGCUGAACUUAA